rnacentral:rRNA from 1 species
GGGUUGUGAGGUUAAGCGACUAAGCGUACACGGUGGAUGCCCUGGCAGUCAGAGGCGAUGAAGGGCGUGCUAAUCUGCGAUAAGCGCUGGUAAGGUGAUAUGAACCGUUAUAACCGGCGAUACCCGAAUGGGGAAACCCAGUGUGA